GACGAACGCUGGCGGCGUGCCUAAUACAUGCAAGUAGAACGCUGAAGGAGGAGCUUGCUCUUCUGGAUGAGUUGCGAACGGGUGAGUAACGCGUAGGUAACCUGCCUGGUAGCGGGGGAUAACUAUUGGAAACGAUAGCUAAUACCGCAUAAGAGUAGAUGUUGCAUGACAUUUGCUUAAAAGGUGCAAUUGCAUCACUACCAGAUGGACCUGCGUUGUAUUAGCUAGUUGGUGGGGUAACGGCUCACCAAGGCGACGAUACAUAGCCGACCUGAGAGGGGGAUCGGCCACACUGGGACUGAGACACGGCCCAGACUCAUACAGGAGGCAGCAGUAGGGAAACGUCGGCAAUGGACGGAAGUCUGACCGAGCAACGCCGCGUGAGUGAAGAAGGUUUUCGGAUCGUAAAGCUCUGUUGUAAGAGAAGAACGAGUGUGAGAGUGGAAAGUUCACACUGUGACGGUAGCUUACCAGAAAGGGACGGCUAACUACGUG
rnacentral:rRNA from 1 species